AUUUGAAUCACCUGGGGAGCUUAUUAAAAUGCAGAUUCUGGCUCAAUGGCCAUGGACAAAGGGCCUGAGAGUCUGCAAUUUUCACAAGCUCCCAGGUGAUGGUGAU
rnacentral:pre_miRNA from 1 species